rnacentral:lncRNA from 1 species
GCGAGACGGUACCCGCGCCCCACAGUCCACCCGCUCCUCGGAGUCCCCCCGCGCCCCGGAGUCCACCCGCGCCCCGGAGUCCACCCGCGCAGGUCCACUUCUCCAUCCCUGCUCUCGACCUCCGCCCCUGCGGUGGGGGAAGUUCCUGGGGCGGUGGCUGGGACCAGGCCGGGUUUUAGGCGGGCGCAGAUUUCCGGGCUAACUUUCCUCGCCGUCUCAGCGCGGGAAGGGGGAAAUGGGAAACCCGGGCCAGAGCAGCGGAGCUUCCCAGCCGCACACUUCCUCCCUCCAGCCGUUUGUCUCGGCAGGGGAGGGCCCAGGCAGCCAAGCCGGCAGGCCCACUGGUUAUCCGACCUUGUGCUCUGGCCGUGGGUGGAGACCUUACAUCCAGCUCAGAGCGCCUCCUCCCAUCCCCUGUGUCCUCUAGGCCUCCCCAGACUUUGCCUUUUAGCCUUCCAGUGAAACAAGUUCUGUAUCCAAGAUAUACAAUUAAGUGGACAAAGCAGAUUGCAGAAAGUCUUUUCGUAGCUCACAAGGGGACAUCAAAGAUGACAAAGAGGAGUGGAAGAAGACAGAGAGAAUCAAUGUGAGGAGCCUGGAACAGGGCUCUGAAUUGUCUUCCCACAGUGAAAUCACUUGUCUAUUGCUGAGCCAAGAAUUUGACUCUGAGCAUCUAGGAUGAGAAAGAAGAACUGGCACCUACGCCAUCUCUGCCCCUCGGGACUGACUAUUUUGUCUUCUAGUAAAAUUGAUGCUCCAAGAAGAUACACAACGUUGACCAUGUGGAUUCAGAUAUCUCCCGCUUGGAUCUCAGCCUGGAUCUUGUUGUUUGAGAAGCAUAGAUUAGCUACAGAAUGCCAUGUCAUACAUCCAAUAAAAUUCAACUCUGCAAGCAUGAGAGAGAAGAGGAAGGAAAAGAGAGAAUCUGAAGUAGUUGGAUCACUAGAGGGCAAUAUCGGCCAAGAGAAAGAAGAAUUCUUCACCACCGUUUCUAGGACUGGUGAAGGUGCAUAUUUAUAAAAAACUUCCCACAGUAUUCCAAAGUAGAUGUGCCAUUUUAUCCUCCAAACAGCAAUGUAUUAGAGUUCCAGUGGUUUCCAAAGCCCCUGUCAACAUUUGGAUUGUCCGUCUUUUUUGAUUUUAGCCAUCCUAAUGGCAAAAGCCAUCUCCCAUGUAACCACAUGCUUCAGGAGAAGCUGACCCUACACCUAGCUCCACUGAAAACCAUAAGAAAGGAAUGUCAUGCCUAUAAUUGCUGCAGCUAUUUUAAUUCCAAGUAUGAGGUUGAAACAAUCAUGGAUGGCCAAGUGAAGAGAUGGAAAAAGCAGGAUUCAGGAUAACUUUGUGAGUUGCUAAGUUACCAGCCCCUGCCCUACUUCUGGACUUCUGAAAUAUGAUAUGAUACUUGCUUUCUUACUUAAGUUGGGUUUUUCUGUUACUUAUAGCCAAUGACACUCCGAUAUGCCAUGAAAUUUAAGAAUGUGAAGUAAUGGCCUUGACUUUCGCAGAACUGGAAGGAGUGUGACUGCCAUGUCACUUACUGUCACUAUCACUUGUUUGACAAUUACGGCUGCUAUUUAUCUUACCUUGUGUUGUUGCUUAUCCUUCCAUAUGAUUAUGUUGAAUAUCCAUCUAAUCUGGAACUUUAAAAAAUCAAAGUCAGUGAUAGAUCUUUUACUUCUUUGUAGGCCCAUAAUCCAUUACAUAACCCACACAUUUUUGUCAAUUAUUGACUUCCCCCUUAUUCUACCCACAUAGAUUUUUUUGGAAGAUGACCAAAAUGCUAUCUCUAUUUGGAGAUAAUAAUUAGUCUCAUCUUCAUUGGCUUCUUCUCGAAUGCGGAGGGAAUUAUCGGAUGAGUACAUUGGAACAUGGUCGCCAUGUGGCCUGCUGCCCCCGUGUACCACUUGGAGACCAGCCUAGCAUGGAAAUGACCAGAUGUUGGAAGCUGAGCUACUGGUGAGUGAAAUAAAUAAGUUAGCUGUCCCACUUCCCAUCUGCAUGGACAGCUUCUGCAUUGCGAAACUGCAGGUGCUUGUCAUUUCACAUGGCAGCAGUUAAUCUCUUAACCCCUUCCUAAACUUGGCAUUGGAAAGCCCUAGAUGGCCAAUUAGGCUGUGUGGGUGUAUGUACACUAGUGCCCAUCUGCCACAGGAAUGGAAGCAGUGGCUCAACUCACAUCAGUACCCAGAUACACAGAUGCUCCGGGAUCUGAGGAAGUGACCUAUAGAAAAUGAAAAAUGACCAGGUAAAGGCAAUACGAAGGGAAGUAGAGGGGCUUAUUAGGCAGCUCUGGACAAGCAGAGAAAAGUGAUGGUUCAACACGUAGGGUGCGCCAAAAAUGGGCUUGUUUCACUGGUUAUUUGAACACAGAAGCAGGGCUGUCUCCCUCUCUCUCUCUCUUUCUCUCCAUUCAUUAAUUAUUUUUCUGAGUAGGCUAAUAAUAUAUGCUUUUUGUGAAACAUUUGAGAAAUGGAAGAAAGUAUAAGAAAAAAAUAAAAAUCACUUAUACAUGUAUCUUCUAAUAUUUCAUUAUAUCUAUACAGGCCCUUUUCUUUCUAGUUUUGUGAUCAUUUAUUCAGUCAACAUUUCCACAAAUAUUUAAUGCAUUUUGUAUGUGUCAGGCACCAUACCAGGCACUAAGAAUAUAGUCGUGAUCAAUAAUUGGCAUAAUUCCUUAUCUCAUAGAACUUUGGGUCUAGCAGAAGUGACAUAUAAACACACAACUGCAUUAAGAAUUAUUUAAUCUCAAAUUUCACAAGCUCUGCAAAGAACAAGUACUAAGUCUUCGGGAAGAAUUGGGAAGUCUGGAUGUAGGGAGUGAACCUAAAAGAAAAACUUUGAAGCUGAGACUAGACUAGUCAGAAACUGCUGGCCAGGGGUGAAUGUGUUGGUCCUAGAGGGGUAGAGUAGGGGCACGCUAGGAAUAGAAAGGAAAAUUGCUGGUGGAGGGAACAGCUUGCCUGAGGUCCUGAUGAGGAGACAGUGACUAGAUGGGGGUGAAAUGGCUUUGUGGAAAUUAGAAAGAAAAAUAGGAGCCAGAUCCUACAAGACAAGUGUUGACAAACAAUAGCCCAGAGGCCAAAUCCAGCACCCCACCUGUUUUUGUAAAUAAAAUUUUAUUGGAACAGAGCCACACCCACUCAUUUAUAUGUCUGUGGUUGUUUUCACACCAUGCUGGCAGUGAUGAAUAGUUGUUACAGAGACUGCAGGGUCCACAUAGCUUAAAAUAUUUACUAUCUGGCCCUUUCCAGAAAACUUUGCUGACCUCUGCUAUGGGGUUUUGUGGCUGAGCGUAUGGUGGAAUUCUUUUAUCACAAGUACAAUGGAAAGGCUUUGAGACGAAAGCAAGGAAGACAUCAUCAGAUUUUUCUUUAAAAGAACUCUAGCUAUGGAAGCAUGUAGAGAUUAGAACUGGGGACUCUGGGUGGAUAUUGGGCAUCUAAGAGUAUCCAGGAGACAGUGGUUGAUGGUUUGGACUCCAUUUGUGCCAAGUGGGCACAGGAAAAAAGAGACAGAUUUGAGAUCUCUUUAGCAUUUGUAUCAGACAGGACUUGGUGGCUGAUUGGGGAGGGGAAGUAAGGAUAGAGAGGUGUUCAGGAACACCCAGGUUUCUGCCUGGUGCACCUGCAUGGAUGAGGGUGUCAUCAACCAGAUGGGGAGCCAUGGAGGAGAAGCAAGAUUGAGAGGGAAAGUCAGGAGGUUUUAGUGCCUGUCUAGUUUAAUCACAAUGGGUAAUACAAUAAAUCCCCUAUUAAUGAACAUGUAGAUUUUUUCUAUUAUUUUUCUUUUUUAAAUAAUGCUGCAAUGCAGCAAAAGGAACAGUCAGCAGAGUAAAUAGACAACCCACAGAGUGGGAGAAAUCUUCACAAUCUAUACAUCUGGCAAAGAACUAAUAUCCAGAAUCUACAGCGAACUCAAACAAAUCAGUAAGAAAAAAUAAACAAUCCCAUCAAAAAGUGGGCUAAGCACAUGAGUAGACAAUUCUCGAAAGAAGACAUACAAAUGGCCAACAAACAUAUGAAAAAAAUGCUCAAAAUCACUAAUGAUCAGGGAAAUGCAAAUCAAAACCACAAUGCAAUACAACCUUACUCCUGCAAGAAUGACCAUAAUAAAAAAAUAAAAAAAAUUAGAUGUUGGACUGGAGGCAGUGAACAGGGAACACUUCUACACUCCUGGUGGGAAUGUUAACUAGUACAGCCAGUAUGGAAAACACUGCGGAGAUUCCUUAAAGAACUGAAAGUAGAACUACCAUUUGAUCCAGCAAUCCCACUACUGGGUAUCUACCCAGAGGAAAAGAAGUCAUUAUUUGAAAAAGACACUUGCACAGGCAUGUUUAUAGUGGCACAAUUCACAAUAGCAAAAUCGUGGAAGCAACCCAAAUGCCCAUCAGUCGACGAAUGAAUAAAGAAACUGUAUAUAUAUAUAUAUAUAUAUAUAUAUAUAUAUAUAUAUACACACACACAUAUAUAUACACACACACAUAUAUAAACAUAUAUGUAUAUACACACAUAUAUAAACAUAUAUAUACGCAUACAUAUACAUACACACACACACACACACACACACACACACACACAAUGGAAUACUAUGCAGCCAUAAAAAGGAAUGAAUUGACAGCAUUUGCAGUGACCUGGAUGACAUUGGAGACUAUUAUUCUAAGUUAAGUAACUCAGGAAUGGCAAAGCAAACAUCAUAUGUUCUCACUGUUACGUGAGAGCUAAGCUACAAGGAUGCAAAGGCAUAAGAAUGAUACAAUGGACUUUGGGGACUUGGGGGAAAGGGUGGGAGGGGAGCAAGGGAUAAGAGACUACAAAUAUAGUGUGGUGUGUACCGCUCGGGUGAUGGGUGCACCAAAAUCUCACAAAUCACCACUAAAGAACUUACUCAUGUAACCAAACACCACCUGUACCCAAAUAACUUAUGGAAAAAAUAAAAUAAAAUAAAAAUAAUGCUGUGAUGAAUUCAUUUGUGCAUAUAUCUCAUUGUUUCCUUAGACUAC